AUUCUUCCUUUGGUAGCAUAUGCACUAAAACUGGAACAAUACAGAGAAGAUUAUUGUGGCCUCUGUGCAGUUAUGGCACACACAUUCAUGAAGCAUUACAUAUUUUC
rnacentral:snRNA from 2 species